rnacentral:rRNA from 1 species
CAGUAGCCGCGGGAAUACGGAGGGUGCAAGCGUUAAUCGGAAUUACUGGGCGUAAAGCGCACGCAGGCGGUUUGUUAAGUCAGAUGUGAAAUCCCCGAGCUUAACUUGGGAACUGCAUUUGAAACCGGCAAGCUAGAGUCUUGUAGAGGGGGGUAGAAUUCCAGGUGUAGCGGUGAAAUGCGUAGAGAUCUGGAGGAAUACCGGUGGCGAAGGCGGCCCCCUGGACAAAGACUGACGCUCAGGUGCGAAAGCGUGGGGAGCAAACAGGAUUAGAUACCCCGGUAGUCCCUGUCUCUUAUAC